rnacentral:lncRNA from 1 species
AGGUAAUUUGGAACAACUCCUCUCUUGAUGACAGCAAGAAAAGCUGGAUUAAAAAAAUCUACUUGAAAGUGUUGGAGACGUAAUAAGAUAGUGAAGAAUUACUGGGCUAGGAUUCGGCAGAAGUGAUAAGCCAGGGAGAUGUGUGAGGACUGAGCGAGUCCUGGGGCUUUUCAUGCCCCAGUAGUAACAAGGACGAGCUGGAGCUGGAGCUGGAGCCAAGCGGUGCUCAGUGUGGGCCUGGGGUGCAGUGCUGCUGGGUUGCACGUGCGUGGAGUCAGGUGGAGCCCGCCUAGAACCGGUUACCACGGUGACAGCUGAAGCAAAACGCAUGGCCAAAGGCUCUGGCGCAGUGAGCUAAGCAUUCUGCAUAUAUUAGCUCUAAUCUCAGCAGCCUCAUGUGGCAGAUGCUGUCCUCACCAUGGAGGCGAGGAAACCGAAGCACAGAGAGGUCUGGAAAAUUUCUGCAGCUGCUGAGUUGGGACUGUUAAGAAAACACUGGCUUCCCAUUAAAGACACGACUUUGCUUCUUUUAAAGAAAAGGUUUUGUAAGUUUUCAAAUAACUUGGAAGAGCUAAACAAACUUAGUAUUAAAGUGGGCCCUGGGGUGGCCCCUGCUGCUGGGUUUGAGGGGACAGGGGCUUGGAGUGGAAACCCACGGGCCUCGGAUCUGGGACUGGAGGAGAAGGAGGCAGCCUGGGGAAUAAAAAGGAAUUCUUUUCCCUGAGACCCUCUACAUCAAAACUGGAAAAUGCCGGGCUGGGGUACUUGCUGGCUGUAAAAAAAGCAUCGUGCAUGUUGUAGGCAAGAGCUGGCAGCCCCUCCCGGGGAAAGCCCUUUAUCUGGGGCCGAGGAGACCUCCUACAAGGCGCCUUUCCCAGACUCCUGAGGGUCUGCAGGAAAAGAGGUCAGAGUUUGGAGUCUCUUGGUGACCAUGCAUCAACUUGUAUUGCUGUUUCCAUCUCAGGAAGCAAAAAAAAAAAAAAAAAAAAAAAAAGGUGUGAGUGCCUGUGUGGGAGGACUGUCGCACACGGUAACCCUAGCAGAAAGCCCGCCAGGGAGCUGACGUCCCUUGCAUUGUGCGUAUGAGAAACUGAGGCCAGAGAAGUGAAGGGAUGUGCCCAGGAGCUCCGAGGUAAAUGGCGUUGAGAUGAGAAUCUGCCAAAACCCAUCUCCCCAUGUGGCCUGCCCCCCUUGAGAUUAGACACGUGGCAUCUGCUCGGGGUGGUGCCUGGUUUCCAGCACCUUCUUCUCCUCUGCAGAGGGGGCUCGUUACAGCUCAAGCUCCCUGGGACAGAAGUAAAUGCCGAGGUGGGGGUUUUUCAUCUCCACAUUACCUGACGUGGAGGAUAGGAGCCAUUCAGUCAGAGAUGCCUUUUUCGGGGGGGAUUUCUCUCCCUAUAGGUAGCUGUAAUUCACACUUCCACCAGCAGGGUGCGCGUGUCUUCUCAUCCUGGCCACACCACGGAAUGUUAUUUUGUUGCCAACCUGAUAGAUGAAACAUACACCUUGGCUUUAGAAAAAUAUACAUUGUUUUCCCAUGGAAAAGUAACACACCCUCAUUAGACACAUUUAGGAAACUGUAGGAAGCGGAAAUAACUGCUGUGCUCCCAAUGCCUCCAGCAGCCUAGGGUGCUCCAAGAAUAUCUGCUGAAUAAGUGAAUGAGGAAAAACAAAUUACCAUGGGUCCACCAAGAAGAAACACUUCUGCCGACCUUUUGACGUGUGUGUUUUCUCUGAGUAUUUUUUCCCACCAAAGUUUAGGUUUGUUUACUUUCAUUAUGUACCCCCCCCCCCCGCAGUUUCUUUUAUCCUGUUUCUUUCACUUCACGUCAGCUGACACAUAUGUUUCCGUCUUCUAGGUGCGGUUUUAAGGGUCUCUAACAUCCUCGCCAGCUUGUGAACCACAGUUUGACUCUUCUGCUGCUGCACUUUUAGGCUGUUUUCCAUUUUUCUCUUCAUAAAGGAUGUGGCUGAUGCCUUUCGGCAGAGAACUCUUUCCAUAUUUCACCUUAUUUCCUAAGGAGAGAGUGUCAGAAGAGGGAUGAACUUGGUCACUUGGUCAAAGUUUUUUCUUUUUUAAUCUGAUUUCAUAUUUCUUAAGAAUGAUGCACCUUAUGAAACAACUUUAUAUCUGUUGAGAAACCUGGUUAAGUUCUUUUUUUAAUAUUGUUUUUAAAAAAGACUUGUUCUGAACAAUAUCCUGUGUCUUUCAGAAAACAGCGGCGGAUAUGAAAGGAGAUUUGUUCCCUCCAAGCUCUUAGGAGACGAUCUGGCUCAGGAAACAGACACAUCAGAUCCUUGCGUGUAUCUGAUGGUUGCCAUGGGAACAAGUCAUUUAACACAAUGCUGGGUUAAAGCAUUGAUCAAUAAGGGAGGGGGCAAGAUUGAAACAAAUUAGUUGGUGUCUGAGCAGGCCGGACAGAUAAUGACAGUAACGGGCAGUGCUCUGCCUGGCCUCCUCCCGUGGCCGGGGCCUGGGCCUGGGCCAGCAGAGGCAGGAGUGGGGUCCCUUCAUCUAGGGUUGGGAUGUGUGGGGCAGAGAACAGAGUCAUAUCAGGCUGAGGAAACUGUUCCCCAAACCAGAUACUGGGGCAAGAGAGGCCUGAGAGGAGUCUGGGGACCUGGGCUCUGGGGGUGAGUGGAACACAAGGCGACAUGGGAAGAAGCUGGGAUGGACCCCAGGGCCUGGGCACAGCCAGUCCCGGCUUCUCCACGCUCCUGCACCAUGUUUGCACAGACGGCUGGGACAUCUUGCCACAUCCUUCAUCUCUCAGGUGUCUGCCAAAGACGCAGCCGCUAACCCCGUGCCCUGUGUUUUGGGCAUGGAUGGGGCAUUCCCUCCUCCUUCUGGGAACCGGAAGCAUCCGGGCUGGCCUGGGAGCCAUCAAGGGCUCAGACUCCGCAUUUGGCAAGACCUGUUUCUAACUGCUACCCCCACCUCCUGGCCGUUGAGCUGGCAAGUCACUGAAGCCCGUGCCCCUCAGUCUUCUCAUCUGUAUGAUGAAGGAACCAUGCGCAGCGUCUGGCUUGGCGCCUGCAACAGAGUCAGCCCUCAGGAUGUAGUAACCUCGCCCUAUUUAUACCAUGUUCGUGUGCCUGGAACAGGCUCCGGGGGCGCCUCGGACCCCAACUGCCACGGCAGCCACACAGCAGGACGAGGAGAGAACAGCCCGUGGGGCCGGAUGCGGCGGGGCUGGGACGCCAGGCAGACGAGAUGCCGGCUGUGCAACCUCCCUGGUCCCUUCACAUCUCUGAGGUGCACUUGGCUCGCGGGUCAAGUGGGGAUACAGCGCCUUUCUCCGGGGGCGCUGAGCGCGGCGAUGAGCGUGGGUAACACAGCCAGGAGUGCUUCUCCCCCGGGGGAACAGGAUUUUCCGGGGUCCGGACACUCACGCCCCCCGGAUCGGCGCCCCGGAGCGCAGGCGCGCGGCGGGGGGCUGCCCCCCAGGCGAAGGGCCCGGCUCGGCAUCUGGAAAGACCCGCGGGUCGCGCGGCCCCGGAGCGGCCGGCAGGGGGCAGGCUGUCCCCGCGAGCCGGCCGUGUCCUCGCGUCACCCCGCCGCCUCCAGCCCCCGCGCCUCCUGAAGGGGCCACGCGGCCGCCUCUGCGCGGAGGGCGAGCGGCCCUUCCCCGGGGAGCCCUCUCCAUCAGCGCGGGCCCAAUAAUUUACGUUUAAUUUGGGAGCGG